CCUACGGGCGGCAGCAGUGGGGAAUAUUGCACAAUGGGCGCAAGCCUGAUGCAGCCAUGCCGCGUGUGUGAAGAAGGCCUUCGGGUUGUAAAGCACUUUCAGCGGGGAGGAAGGCGGUGAGGUUAAUAACCUCAUCGAUUGACGUUACCCGCAGAAGAAGCACCGGCUAACUCCGUGCCAGCAGCCGCGGUAAUACGGAGGGUGCAAGCGUUAAUCGGAAUUACUGGGCGUAAAGCGCACGCAGGCGGUCUGUCAAGUCGGAUGUGAAAUCCCCGGGCUCAACCUGGGAACUGCAUUCGAAACUGGCAGGCCAGAGUCUUGUAGAGGGGGGUAGAAUUCCAGGUGUAGCGGUGAAAUGCGUAGAGAUCUGGAGGAAUACCGGUGGCGAAGGCGGCCCCCUGGACAAAGACUGACGCUCAGGUGCGAAAGCGUGGGGAGCAAACAGGAUUAGAUACCCGUGUAGUC
rnacentral:rRNA from 1 species